rnacentral:rRNA from 1 species
GCAAGUCGAAACGGCAGCAUGAUCUAGCUUGCUAGAUUGAUGGCGAGUGCGCGUAACGGGUGAGUAAUACAUCGGAACGUGCCCUGUAGUGGGGGAUAACUAGUCGAAAGAUUAGCUAAUACCGCAUACGACCUGAGGGUGAAAGUGGGGGACCGCAAGGCCUCAUGCUAUAGGAGCGGCCGAUGUCUGAUUAGCUAGUUGGUGAGGUAAAGGCUCACCAAGGCGACGAUCAGUAGCUGGUCUGAGAGGACGAUCAGCCACACUGGGACUGAGACACGGCCCAGACUCCUACGGGAGGCAGCAGUGGGGAAUUUUGGACAAUGGGGGCAACCCUGAUCCAGCAAUGCCGCGUGUGUGAAGAAGGCCUUCGGGUUGUAAAGCACUUUUGUCCGGGAAGAAAUCGCACUUAAUAAUACUAGGUGUGGAUGACGGUACCGGAAGAAUAAGGACCGGCUAACUACGUGCCAGCAGCCGCGGUAAUACGUAGGGUCCAAGCGUUAAUCGGAAUUACUGGGGCGUAAAGCGUGCGCAGGCGGUUGUGCAAGACCGAUGUGAAAUCCCCGAGCUUAACUUGGGAAUUGCAUUGGUGACUGCACGGCUGAGUGUGUCAGAGGGGGGGUAGGAAUCCACGUGUA